AGUGAACGCUGGCGGUAGGCCUAACACAUGCAAGUCGAACGAACGCACAGUAAGCGCUUGCCCUUACUGUUGGCGACUGACGGACGAGUAAGACAUAGAUCGGCUUCUACUUUUUCGUGGGGGAUAUCGUAGGACAACUUACGCUACUACCGCAUACGUCCUACCGCUGAAAUCAGAAGUGAAUCGCACUCUGCGUGUUUGUAUGAGCCGGGGUCGGAUUAGCUAGUCGGCGAGGUAAAGGCACACCAAGGCGACGAUCCGUAGCUGAUCUGAGAGGAUGAUCAGCCACACUGGAACUGAGACACGGUCCAGACUCCUACGGGAGGCAGCAGUGGGGAAUAUUGGACAAUGGGCGCAAGCCUGAUGCAGCCAUGCCGCGUGAGUGAAGAAGGCCUUCGGAUCGUAAAACUCUGUUAUUAGGAAAGAAAAUCAGCGGAAGAAAACCCCGAUGUUCUGACGGUACCCAAAGAAUAAGCACCGGCUAACUUCGUG
rnacentral:rRNA from 1 species